GUGAGGAAUAUUGGACAAUGGGCGCAAGCCUGAUCCAGCCAUGCCGCGUGCGGGAAGACGCAUCUAUGGUGUGUAAACUGCUUUUGUACGGGAAGAAACACUCCCUCGUGAGGGAGCUUGACGGUACCGUAAGAAUAAGGAUCGGCUAACUCCGUGCCAGCAGCCGCGGUAAUACGGAGGAUCCAAGCGUUAUCCGGAAUCAUUGGGUUUAAAGGGUCCGUAGGCGGUUUAAUAAGUCAGUGGUGAAAGCCCAUCGCUCAACGAUGGAACGGCCAUUGAUACUGUUAGACUUGAAUUACAAGGAAGUAACUAGAAUAUGUAGUGUAGCGGUGAAAUGCUUAGAUAUUACAUGGAAUACCAAUUGCGAAGGCAGGUUACUACUUGUGGAUUGACGCUGAUGGACGAAAGCGUGGGGAGCGAACAGGAUUAGAAACCCUUGUAGUCC
rnacentral:rRNA from 1 species